AGAGUUUGAUCAUGGCUCAGGAUGAACGCUAGCGGGAGGCCUAACACAUGCAAGCCGAGCGGUAGAUUACUUUCGGGUAAUUGAGAGCGGCGUACGGGUGCGGAACACGUGUGCAACCUGCCUUUAUCAGGGGGAUAGCCUUUCGAAAGGAAGAUUAAUACCCCAUAAUAUAUUAUUCGGCAUCGGGUGAUAUUGAAGACUACGGUGGAUAGAGAUGGGCACGCGCAAGAUUAGCUAGUUGGUGAGGUAACGGCUCACCAAGGCGACGAUCUUUAGGGGGCCUGAGAGGGUGAUCCCCCACACUGGUACUGAGACACGGACCAGACUCCUACGGGAGGCAGCAGUGAGGAAUAUUGGACAAUGGGUGGAAGCCUGAUCCAGCCAUCCCGCGUGCAGGAAGACGGCCCUAUGGGUUGUAAACUGCUUUUAUCUGGGGAUAAACCUACUUACGUGUAAGUAGCUGAAGGUACCAGAAGAAUAAGCACCGGCUAACUCUGUGCCAGCAGCCGCGGUAAUACGGAGGGUGCAAGCGUUAUCCGGAUUUAUUGGGUUUAAAGGGUCCGUAGGCGGACUGAUAAGUCAGUGGUGAAAUCCGACAGCUUAACUGUCGAACUGCCAUUGAUACUGUUAGUCUUGAGUAAGGUUGAAGUGGCUGGAAUAAGUAGUGUAGCGGUGAAAUGCAUAGAUAUUACUUAGAACACCAAUUGCGAAGGCAGGUCACUAAGUCUUAACUGACGCUGAUGGACGAAAGCGUGGGGAGCGAACAGGAUUAGAUACCCUGGUAGUCCACGCCGUAAACGAUGAUUACUCGUUUUUGGGUUUUAUGAUUCAGAGACUGAGCGAAAGUGAUAAGUAAUCCACCUGGGGAGUACGUUCGCAAAAAUGAAACUCAAAUGAAUUGACGG
rnacentral:rRNA from 1 species